rnacentral:rRNA from 1 species
CCUACGGGUGGCUGCAGUGGGGAAUAUUGGACAAUGGGCGAAAGCCUGAUCCAGCCAUGCCGCGUGUGUGAAGAAGGCCUUCGGGUUGUAAAGCACUUUCAGUGGGGAAGAAAGCCUUGGGGCUAAUACCCUCGAGGAAGGACAUCACCCACAGAAGAAGCACCGGCUAACUCCGUGCCAGCAGCCGCGGUAAUACGGAGGGUACGAGCGUUAAUCGGAAUUACUGGGCGUAAAGCGCGCGUAGGCGGUCUGAUAAGCCGGUUGUGAAAGCCCCGGGCUCAACCUGGGAACGGCAUCCGGAACUGUCAGGCUAGAGUGCAGGAGAGGAAGGUAGAAUUCCCGGUGUAGCGGUGAAAUGCGUAGAGAUCGGGAGGAAUACCAGUGGCGAAGGCGGCCUUCUGGACUGACACUGACGCUGAGGUGCGAAAGCGUGGGUAGCAAACAGGAUUAGAUACCCGUGUAGUC